CCCUUAGAUGUUCUGGGCCGCACGCGCGCUACACUGAUGCAUGCAACAAGUCUUUUCCUUGGCCGAGAGGCCUGGGCAAUCUUUGAAUAUGCAUCGUGAUGGGGAUAGACGAUUGCAAUUAUUCGUCUUCAACGAGGAAUUCCUAGUAAACGCAAGUCAUCAGCUUGCAUUGAUUACGUCCCUGCCCUUUGUACACACCGCCCGUCGCACCUACCGAUUGAAUGGUCCGGUGAAGGCUUCGGAGGCGGCUUGGUCGCUUGCGUCCGACUGCUGAAACUUGAUUAAACCAUAUCAUUUAGAGGAAGGUGAAGUCGUAACA
rnacentral:rRNA from 1 species